CAGGCCAGCAUCAGUCCGGGCGGUUGGAUAAAGGCCUAUUAAAUGUACCUCUCCUCGGGGAGGACUUAUAGGGUAGGUGACAUGCAACCAGCCUGGAUUGAGGUCCGCGCAUCUGCUAGGAUGCUGGCGUAAUGGCUGUAAGCGG
rnacentral:rRNA from 1 species